rnacentral:lncRNA from 1 species
UUAUUUCCUAAAUCACCCUCAUUUUUCAUGUUAAAAAUGAAUGUUAAGGAUAAUUUGGAUAACUCAGCCAUUUUAGACUCAUUAAUUUCAAAACACUCCCUAUUAAUUAGCAGGCCUAUUUUUGUCUCCAGAUAUCCCCCAAAACAUUUGCAACGAAACAUUUUUCAUUCUUUUCAGACACUUGCCAAGAUAAGUUUGAUUGUACUAUUUUCCCCUGAGUUUUCAAAAAGAUGUCUUAUUUCUUACUAAACUUCUUUGUUAAAGCAGAGAUUUUUAUGUCAUUAUUUCAUAUUCAAAUCAAUCAUUAAAGUUGUCAUUGUAGGAAAAGGAUAGAUACUGAGAUCUGAGCUCUUCUAACUCCCUGUCUUGAUCAUUUGGCUAAUGCUCAUCCAAAAGAAAGAUUAUUUAUGUUUUAGAGACAAACAUUUAAAUGAACCAAUUAUGAGCAAUAUCUAAAUCUAAAGUUUAGCUAAGGACGCAUACAUGCACACAUACUCACAUAUAAAUACAUGUUUAUACUCUUUGAAUGGUGACAUAAAAACUGAAAAUUGAAGAGGAUUCCAUCAUUAGGUGAAUGAUUUGACAAUUUGAUAUAUUAAUGUGGUAGAAUAACAGUGUGCUUUUAGAAAUGAUAGAGAUGGUUUCAGAGAAAUUUAGGAAGACUUGUUUGAAUCUGAUGAAAAAUAAAGUGAGCAGUUAUAGAAAAACAAUUCAUAAAAUAACUAAGUUCAUAACCAGCUCUAACAUGUUAAUACAGAAUUAUAAUUACUUUUCUUUCUUCAUCACCAGGGGCAGCUGGAUGGAGUGUAGGCUUCAAAUCGGGGAGACAACUUCAAAUCCAUCCUCAGAUUUCUCUGAAUUGUUUUCCAUAAAGAAAAUAAUUACUCAUUGA